rnacentral:rRNA from 1 species
CCUACGGGUGGCAGCAGUCGAGAAUCAUUCACAAUGGGGGAAACCCUGAUGGUGCGACGCCGCGUGGGGGAAUGAAGGUCUUCGGAUUGUAAACCCCUGUCAUGUGGGAGCAAAUUAAAAAGAUAGUACCACAAGAGGAAGAGACGGCUAACUCUGUGCCAGCAGCCGCGGUAAUACAGAGGUCUCAAGCGUUGUUCGGAAUCACUGGGCGUAAAGCGUGCGUAGGCUGUUUCGUAAGUCGUGUGUGAAAGGCGCGGGCUCAACCCGCGGACGGCACAUGAUACUGCGAGACUAGAGUAAGGGAGGGGGAACCGGAAUUCGAGGUGUAGCAGUGAAAUGCGUAGAUAUCGAGAGGAACACUCGUGGCGAAGGCGGGUUCCUGGACAUUAACUGACGCUGAGGCACGAAGGCCAGGGGAGCGAAAGGGAUUAGAUACCCGAGUAGUC